GACGAACGCUGGCGGCGUGCUUAACACAUGCAAGUCGAACGGUAAGGCCCUUCGGGGUACACGAGUGGCGAACGGGUGAGUAACACGUGGGUGAUCUGCCCUGCACUUCGGGAUAAGCCUGGGAAACUGGGUCUAAUACCGGAUAGGACCCUGGGAUGCAUGUCCUGGGGUGGAAAGCUUUUGCGGUGUGGGAUGGGCCCGCGGCCUAUCAGCUUGCUGGUGGGGUGAUGGACUACCAAGGCGACGACGGGUAGCCGGCCUGAGAGGGUGACCGGACACACUAGGACUGAGAUACGGCCCAGACUCCUGCGGGAGGCAGCAGUGGGGAAUGUUGCACAAUGGGCUCAAGCCGGAUGCAGCGACGCCGCGUGAGGGAUGACGGCCUUCGGGUUGUAAACCUCUUUCAGCACCGACGAAGCGCAAGUGACGGUAGGUGCAGAAGAAGGACCGGCCAACUACGUGCCAGCCGCCGCGGUAA
rnacentral:rRNA from 1 species